AACCCGCCUGCUUCGGCCUCCCAAAAUGCUGGGAUUGCAGGCAUGAGCCGCUGCGCAUUGUCUGUUUCUGAUUAUCUUAUCCAGAUCCUCUAGCCAGAUGAAUGACAAAGAAAACCCUCCUAUAUGCAAUGCUAGAACAUCCAGGAUCAAAAUAUGAGGCUACCUCAUGGCCUAUUUGUAUAUAUUGCAUUUGAGUUCAAAUGCAUCUUAGAUCUUUCAGGAGCUUGAAUAUAUGAAUCCACAAGAGUAUGCAAGCUUUAAUGUUUUUAGUGCUAUGAAUUUCUCUGGGUGAUUUGGGCAUUUCUGCUACAGUAAACAUUUAAAUGCACUAAAGCGUUUCCACAAGGUAGCUCACUGCGUUUCCAUCAACACUGAGCAUGUUCUUUACUCUGGAAGAGGCUGAAAGUCCUCAGCAGGGUAAGUGGGAUGGGGGUGGGGCUGGGGGAAUCCAGACUUCACUCUCCAUUUUCAUUUUUCAAGAGCAAACCUGUUAUUGUCAAGUAACUCUGAAAUUCCACUUUGAGAUGAAACUGAAAUUGAGCUCUGAAAACCUCCAUUGAAGAGCACCAAAUUACAGAAGAAUUUAUGUUUAAAUACCAGACUCACUAGUUUUCUGAUAAUUCCUCUGGGUGAGGAGGAGGAAAUAUGUACACAGAAUCUGGGAUGUCCAUUGAGCCCAUCCCCCUAUAUGCAGGCAUAGCCACAUUGAUUGCCCCAACACUGCGGUAUUUCACAUCCCAUAAACAGAGUAUGCUUUUUCUAUUGGCAACUUGUUAUGGGCUCUGCCACCAAUACUGAAACUGUCUUCCUUACAUGUAAUCCUAUCUGAUAAAAUGAAAUGUUUUUAUUGUAAAAGCAAUGCAAUGUUUUAUCGAAUAUGAGCAUUUAGAAUAAAAUUAGAAAGUACAGCACAGAUUUCACAUGAAAGACAGUACAACAUGGCUGUGGGAGAAAGAGACAAUAAGAAGCUUGUGGCUUCCUUGAGAGGAGUCAUUCAAUUCUGGUAAAGCUAUUUGGGAAAUAGGAGUAUCAGAAAAUCUUCCUUUGUAAAACCCUUUCUUAAAUGGACCCAAAUAUGAUUGCCAUGAAAAUAUUUAUUGCUGAUAUAUUUUUUUUUUUAGUUUCUAUAAUCAGGAGAUAAAACUUCUUUGAAAACAAUGGUUGCUUUUAAUCCUGUUUUAGAAUCAAUUACAAGACUUAGUCAAUUACAGAGACUCUGCAGAGAGGUCCAUACCAGGCUAUAAGUAUAACAAAUAAUAAAUGGGUACCUGAAUUUGUGCUAUGGGAAAUGACGUGCUGGAUACUUUCCACUUGCCUCUCCAUAUUUACUCUCCACCCUAUCCCAUGCUCUGUAUGUUUCAGGGAAUGAGGACAGCACCAAUAGGUGCUCUUGCCUGCCAGCUUCCGGUUGACUCUGCCCAUAGGAGGUGCUAGUAAGUGACAGAGGCCGGGAGGAAACUGAAGGAAUGUUUUCCUCAGCUCCUUCCCUGCAAGAUCAUAGUGGACUGGCUGGGUUCCUCUACCAACGACCCCGCUUCAGACAGUCCUCCUUUCCAUACGAGGACCCUCAGCGGAUUUUGAAAACUGCUCCUUCCUUUACUUCUUCAGGAAGAGAAUGGUAAUUGCAUCCACUACUAUGAGACCCUACGUUCUGCACAAUUUAUUUUCCUAAACCCUGUUCAUAUCUUCGAAAGCAUUUCCUGUAUUACACUCGGUUCAGUUAUGAAGUUUGACGUACCAUUUCUUGCCUGCUGAUAAAAAAUACUGGAAAAACUCAUGAAAGAGUAACGCAAUCCCCUUCCUAGAAACGUGGCAGGGUCAGGGUCCUUUUGCACAAACUAUGUUUGCUUGUUUGUUUGAUAGACUUUUUCUUUUUUUUUUUUAAGGGCAGUUUUAGGUUCGCAGUACAAUUGAGAGGAAGGUACAGAGACUUCUCAUAUACUUUCUACCCCCACACAUUCACAUUCAUAAUGUUUCCCACUAUCUCCCACCAGGGUGACACUGUUUUCUAUAAAAAGAAAAACUGAAAGUUUCUCUUCAAUUUAAAGAGUUUACAAGCAAUUUGAGGAUGUCUACAUUUCCACUGUGGAAUACAUUUUUUCCUCUUAAAUGGGAGGAAAUUAAAAAAAAAAUUGGGAAUAAACCCAAAUAAAUAUCCCAAAACAACAAAUUCCUGGUUGCUUGUUGGUGGAGGUGUUUAAGAAAGCUGGUUUAAAGGAUCUAAAAAUAAGAGAUGCCUCUGAGCAAGUUGUUCUGCCAUGAAUUUCUGGAGAACAUUUUGAGAACAUCUGGAAUAAAAGGGAUCUGAGACAUUAUUUCCUUCUGUCUCCUUCUGGUGCCUGAAUACUUGCAGUGACAACUCUGCCCAAACAUGGCUCAGUCUUUGCUUGCACAUUUCUGGUACCUGGGAGUUUCCUGCCUCCCGGGGCAACUCACUCCAGCAUGAACUGAUCGCAUAAUGUGGAAAGCUCCACAUUCCACGGAGCCCCAGCCCGCCUCCCUCUAGCUUCCACCCACUGACCCUAGUUUGGCUCUGGAGGGCAGAACACAGUGAGCCUAAUCUGUCUUCUCUCUGACAGCCUUUCCCAACGCGAAGGCAGCAAUCAUGUUCUCCCUAAGCCCAAAUCCCUAGUUCCUAGUGGUGGAGACACAACCCUCUGAACACAGACACUAUUUUAUUUUAUCAAUGUCCUGAAGUAAAAGUUGUGUUUGAGGUGUGAUCUAAUCAGCAUACACUAGCACUGCCCGCUUCUACAUUCCAAACACUGUAUUUCUAUCAAUGGAAACUCAGAGUGCACUCCUUGUAGAACAGCCCCAUCACAUUGUUACAAGCCCAGGGAUUGGGAAGGUACAGUUUUUCAUAUGAUGGGCCAAGAGAACUUAGAAAUUUGACAAUAUAUCAAGAUAUGUAGUGUACCCUGUCAAGGUCCACCAAGUGCCUACAUGAUAAGGACAGUAAUAAAUAAGUUGUGAAGUUUUGGAAUUUUUUCAUGAAUUUCCAUAAAUGAAAUUGAUGAUAAGAUGACUCACAUAGAGCACCAAGGUGACAAUAUGUCUAUCACCCAGUGCUAGGUUCACCUUCCUGGCUGAACAAGGUGGUUCGGAAAGUCACCAGCAAAGUCCUGGGAGUCAAAACACUUGAAUUCCAAUACAACCGACUGAGCCCCUGAGAAUCAAUUCAUCCUUUGGAAUUAUCCUGUGUAAACUGGGGAUAAUAGACCUCAUGUAGUUAUUGUGAUUAUGAAAUGGGAGCGUUCCAGAGACAAUGUCCUGUAAACUCUAAAGCUCAGUACGGACAAGCAUGUCACAUGUGAGGGGAGAGCAUUGGAUCAGGAGAGAAGUCCUUUAUUUAUCUGGUGAUAUUUCCGGCCAUUACCUUGUCCAGGUCCUAAGAGAUGUAUGUUUAUUUGACUUUAUGUAUACACUGAAAACAUAGUACAGUAAGUCGUCACUUGAUAUUGACAGACUCUUAGAAACUGACUUUAAGCAACAAAUCCUCAAAUAACAUCCAUUUGUUAUAACAUUGGUGAGAAAAAAAGUUGGUUUUGUUAUGCAUUGUUUCACUUAAAAGUUGCAGUUUCCAAGAACCUACUGAUGGUAAGAUGUAGAAGACUUACUAUAAUGGGGUUAAAAAUUAUUCCACAUAGUUAUGGGACUUUUUUCUGCCUCCAAAAUAGCCCAUUUACAUGCAGGAAGGAGAUUGGUCACUGAUGAAAAACUAAGCCAAACAAAGAAGGAAAGAUGGUUAAACAUCUAAAUUCUCCCAUUCUUCAAGAAACCACCAAAGAGUGAAGAAGUAAGAGAACGUACCUUCUUCCAUCUUUGGGCCAGAAAUAUGCAUGUGCUUAUAUGCUGGCUAUUCUAACAAUUGAGUUUACAACUGCCAAGCAAUGUUUUCUUAAAAACAGGCCCUUUUACAGGAAAGGAAGGAACUGGUAGGCAUCCUUAUAAAGCAUGUUGAAUGUUGGCACCUGGGAAAGGUGUACUUUGAAUCCACCUGGACACAAAUGGAGAAGACAGGGCUUUCGGGAAGACAGAGGUAGUAUCUGCACAAAAAAGCAGUCCACCACAGCCUUCUCUACCACCAUCUGGAUAUGUUUAUGAGCAACAGAAGCCUUCUCUUUUUCUUCAUUUUUUUCCAUGUGAUAAAUUUUCAAUCUGAUAUUUCUAUUUAGAUGAGUAAAAAGAUCAAUGGAAUCAGAUGAAUCCCAAUUGGUAUUUGACAGUUUUCAAGUAACAUUGAACCACAUAUGGAGUGUGCUGAAAGCACAUAGAAUAGAUGAUUGAGCACUGCUCAUAGUUUCAAUAGUGGCUUAGAAGAUCAAAAGAUGAUUUCUGCAGAUGUAGUGCCAAGAUAAUUACUACAUUUCUGGGGCCAGAUUUAAAUAAGUUAAACAAACUUAUGUCAGUUGUAUUUAUAGUUUAAUUGCUUUUCACAUUAUCUCAUCAGAUUCUUUGUAGACCUUAUAAGGUUGUCAAUAUAAGGAUUAUUAUCCUUAUUUUGCAGAUGAGUAAUCUGAAUUCCAGAAGUCUGAGACAUUUGCUUAAGCUCACUUUAAGCCUGAAGCCUAAAUAGGUUUUUAAACGUUUUGUUGGAAUGAUUGAAUGAAUACAUGAAAAAAAUAAAUGAACAGAUAGCAAUAGGCAUGAGUAGGUCCAAGGUCAAGUUUCCUGACCUUGGGUUCAAAUGUUUUCCAGUAUACCAGCAAUGUUCAAACUUGAGCAAUAUGUGUGUUGCUCAAGAAAAGAAUCUCCAUUGUAAUUAUAUUUAUUAUAAUAUUCUAAUGGGCAGCAUAAUUCUGGUAUUAACUUUUCAACUCUUAUCAGUAAAAGACUGGGGCAUCUAGUUUGAAUUUCCUUUGUCAUUAAGGUUUCACAUUGUGUGCCUGCUCUGUGUCCUCUGACUUUGUUUCAUGCCACGCUGAACUGUGCUCACGGUUUCCUCUUAUCAUUGACUUUUCAUACCAAUUGUAGAGAAUUCACAGCUUUUCCUUCAGCAAUUGUGCUGGGCUCAGAUUUUAAAUUGAUUUUUGGCUAUUCCACAGCUCUGACUGCUGGUGUUUCUACUUCCACAAUCCAUGAUACCAGAACAGAAACAUGGGCUUUUAAAAAUACGCACUCUAGGAACCUUAUUUAUCUGUUGUUCCAGUGUUCGAAUUUUAGUUUCCUCCUUUGCAUUUUGUGAGCUCUAUUUCUGUAUAUUUGCUACUCUAUGGAAUGCUGCAGGUAAGGGAAUACAAUACUCUGCCCCUUUAGUAGGGGACAUUAAGAACAGAUCUUAGAAUAAAAUAGCUACUUUCCUGUAUAUAAGUCAUUGGCACCACUGACACUAGCAGAAUCCUCCUCUGCCGCCCAUCCCAAGCCCAACCUUUGACAGUAGAUGCCCUGGGUUUGCCCUACCUAACUAGCUCACAACCACUGUCCUCCCAGCUACAUUAAAACUGCAAAGAAUGCGGAAAUGUAUCAUAAGAUGUAAAUCUUUCCCUCAGGAAGUUUAUCCCAUACUUGGAUUUUAGGACUAAACACAUAUAACAUUUAUGGAGAACAAUCAAGUGUCACACCAUGUUUUCGUAUUAACCAUAAUUAAAGAGGGAUUUGAAAAAUGGAGAAAAUUCUGUGGGCUAAAAUGAUUGGAAAAUGAUUCUUGAACCCUCAAGGGGCAAUGCAAGAUCUUAAAAGUACAUAGAAUUUAUAAAGGGAUGAGAGCAAUAAGGGUAUUACAAGUGGGAGAACAGCACUAAUAAUGAGUGCAUGGGAAGAACACAUGCUCCAGUGAACACUAUCUCCUGGCUAGGUGACAAAUUGGGAAUUGGAAAUAAAAUGUGAAAAAGAAAGUCAGAAAGGAAAGAUAAGGACUAAAAGGGGUAGACAAUAGGGAGGAGCCAUUGACGGUCCUGGAGCAAUGAAACAACAUAAGAUCUGCACUUAAAAGUUCCAUCUGGAAGCUAUACUCACAUAAGCUCUGUAGUCAACAGAGGAUAACAUCUAAACUUGAACAGAUAACACAAAAUGCAUGACUGUUCACAAUCUGCCCCAACCUUCAUCAUUGCUUUCUUCCCAUCCUAAUAUUUGAGAUACAAAGAGCCACUUGGCAUCCCAAACAUUUCAUGAAUUUUAAUGCCUCUCUGCCUUUGCUUUCCUCUCAUCUUCUUUCCUCCUGAUUUCUAAUUCAUUCUUCAAGGCCCCCUCAAAUUUCUACCAUCUGUGAUUUAUUAGUAGUUAUUUAUUGAGCUUACCCUGCAAUGUAUUAAGUGCAAGGGACCAGGCAUUUCAAAAAUUAUCUAUCUAUCUGUUGAGAGGGAAAACAGAAAGAGUGAGAGAGCAAGAGAGAGAGGAAGAGAGGGAGAGACUGAGAUAAUACAUUCCUAGUUUUGCAAUUGGCACAGCAUCCCUUCCAAUGUAUUUAAUUGAUCAAAGCAUGUCGCAAGCUCCACCAGGGAAAUACGCUUUGCCUUUUGAAGGAAACAGUGGCAUAAGUAUUAUGGGUUAGAAGGAUUAUUGGUGGCCUUCUUUGCAGAAAAUCUAUGAAAGCCCCUGAUAGGUCAAUAAUAUGGUAGAGAAUUAACCAUUGGAUUUGGCCACAUAGAGGUCAUAAGUGGUUCUGUAUCAGUCAAGCAGUUAUGUCAGAGCUUGAAUGGAGCAUGUGCAAGAAAUAAUGGGAGGACAGGAAUAAAAGGCAUCAAGUUGACCGGGCACGGUGGCUCACGCCUGUAAUCCCAGCACUUUGGGAGGCUGAGGCAGAUGGAUUACGAGGUCAGGAGAUCGACACCAUCCUGGCUAACACGACGAUGAACUCCAUGCGGGGAGAGAUGGUCUGCAUCACCUCUAUGGCCUCAGCCUUUGGACGCAAUGCUUGGUACAUAAUGGUCACUAAAAAAGAAAAAAACAUUCAUUAAGAAAUUAAUGGGAACAGAGUCCAGAAACAUCUAAGAGUCUAGCCAAAGUGUGUUUCUGCUUUCCAGAUGAUGGUGAUGAAACAGCUCAAAAAUAUACACUCAUGUCCAUAUAUACAUUUGGUUCUGCAUAUCAUUCUUCAGCUUUUCUGGACACUGGAACGUAAAGCUACCUUAAUUGCUGCUUUCAAUUUUAAUAGCAGGUACAAUUUUUAAAAAGGAAAACCCUUUGAGUGAUUGAGAAUAAGUCCCUGGAAUGUUGCCUUCCUUGAAGCCUCUGAUGCAUGUUGCCCUUUCUGUGGGUAUCCCCUGCUGUGGCACUUUUGUAGGUAAUUGAUGUUGGCAUUUCAGAUUAAGAUGAAAUUUUGGGUGUCAGUUUUGGACUGCUUCAAUGGCCAUGAUCAGUUAGCUCUCAGUUUACCAAUUUGUGUUCCACUGAGUUGAACAGUAAAAAUCCUUGGUAGUUUACCUGAAAGGCCGUGAAGAUGACUUAUGGGCCGCAGCACACAAUAUUUCUUUUCUGUACUUUAUCUAGACAAAUAAGUGCUUAUAACUCUGGAUUCAGGAAAGACUGUUUAUUCUUCAGAACUGACAUCCCCAUUAAAAAGAAAAUAAAGUAAGCAUCAGGAUUAGUCCCCUAAGCUUCCAUCAAGUCUCUUGCCAUGAAUGUCUGUGUGUUUUUCCCCUGUCAGUUCCUGACCCCCAAAACACAUUUCUCUACAGAAGAUAAUAUCGUGUUACUCUUUCUCUCUCCUCAAUAUUUGCCAGUCUUCACCCACCUUUCUCACAAAAAUCAAGCCGGAGCUCUUUAAAAUAAUUAUAAAGGAAUAACUAAUAAAUGAAGGCUCUUGUGGAGUAAAGGUGAUGUUAAUAACUUUGGCAAAGAACUCCCUCCACCCUCAAGAACAAUCCAUCCAUUGCUAUUAGGAAAGAGGGGCAUGGGAUGCAUUUAGGCUAAGUACAAUGUCACAGGGACUUUAGAAAGCCAUGGAGAGACAAGAGUUGAUGGAAAAACAAAGGAAGUGGUAGACCACUAUUUUACUGUGCUCAAUGGAUUUUACCGGAGUAGGCAGCUUCUUUUCCAAUGUCUCUUACCUAUCACUCUGUCAAAUGAAGUCAGAGAACAAGAAUAUAUUUUGGUCAAGUAACUAUAAUGCAAUAUGUCUAAGUCCUAUCUUGUAGGAGAAAAGAGACCUUGGAAAACCAAAUGGCCUGUUCUUGCAGGUAGGUCACCAGCAAGGACCUGGGGGGAUAGAAUGACCAUUAUAGCUCUGGGUCUCAUCUUCAAUGACCAGAAAUUCACCCUCUGGUUUCCUUGAGGUUCUUUAGUAGAAAACAGAACACUCUCCUUUCCAUCAGUCAAAGAAAGGCAGGGCUUGUUGUGAUUUUAAGGAGAGAAGCACUUAGGGAUUUUGUAUUUUGGUGGAGACUUCUUUGGAGUGAGACAAUGUUAGUUAUCCAGCAAUGAUUGGCAUCUGGAAAGCAACUGGUAUAGUGUUUAUAAAGCAACUAGCAAUGAGAUUGGAGGUUGUUUACAUACCUAGCUACACCCAGCCCACACCCCUCCAAUUCUCACUAGUCAUGGAGGAAGCUGGCAAGUGACUUUCUCUCUUUUAUACAUGUUACCUGUUUUAACUUCUUAGACUGAGACAUAGCAUUCUCAGACUAGAAUGAACCCUAGUCACCAUCUGUGUGAGCACCUCCACUUUUACAGUGAGUUAACUGAGGCACUAAAAGGGGACACUGCUGGUUAGAAUCAAAUCACACAAACUUGUUCUUUCCACUAAACAACACAUGGUUGAUGGACACAUUUGUUUCUGUUUACAGACUGAACUUGAUGCUUGUUUUUACCUAAUAACACUUGGAUUAAAAUGUUUGAAUUGGGAGACUUGCCUUCUCCAGCACUGUAUUUAUGGUUCAUAGUCCAAAGAAUGGCCUUAUUGGAUCCUGUUGGAUAAUCAUAAAGAGAGAUCUUGUCUUAUUUUUGACUCUAAGAAGGAGUAUUUAUUGAGCCUCAGGAAGGUGAAUUGGAAGGUGAAUUGAAUCCUCUUUUUUGGGGAAACAGAAUAUAAACUUUAUUAUAGCAAAGGAUGUUGCAGAACAGAGGCAGGAAUUUCUGGUUGGCCUGAUUUCAAAUUAUUUAAAUACAUUUGUUGUAUUUGUUCUUGUUCUGUUUUACACCAUAUUUUUAUGCAGUAAACAUAUAUAUCUUCUGUUAUUAAAAAGAAAAAUCCAAAUGGAUAUUUUGAAAGGUGUAUAUAAUGCUUCAGUAUUAGUGUCCAGUAGGGGAAAAUAACUCUCUGUUAUGACUCAAUGAUAAGUCAUCCUGAUAUGCUAAGGAAAGUGCUGCCAAAAGAGCCAAAAACCUGAGUUUGAGACCUGGCUCUGUUACCUUUUGGUAAAUUCGCAGACAAUACUGAGCAUCUGUAGUGUAAUGGGUACUUCACUGAGUCCUGGGAAGAUGAUGAACAUAUGUAGGCAUAGUCCUCCAUACAUUUACAGGAGUCUGAACCCAUUCAUCAUUCAUUUCUCUGAGCACCAGUUUCCUCAUUUGUAACAUGGAAAUAGCCACACUUUAGUAUGUCAUUAUGAAGAUUAAAUUAUAUCAUGUAUGUGAUUCUCCACGUGCAGAGGAACAACUCAAUUAAGUGUAGGAUUUGAGAGUGUCGGAACACAAAGAUGAGCCAUUAGAGUUUCAGCAGACAAAUAUUAGCUCGCUAAUCAUAGAUAUCUCAAUGUCUGUUAUCAAACCCGUGUUUCUAUGUUACUUAUUAUGAGUUUAAGAGAAAACACAUUAACUUGUUCAAAUAUAAGCUGUUGAAUGUAGUUCUGGCUUUGAUUUACCUUUCCCACCAAGCUGCUGUACACAAGAUCUGAGUGAUAGAACGCCCCUAAUGCUCACUUCCUCUUGUCACCUGAGGGGCAAGUUUCUAGACAUUCAAACUGUGUGUGGCUCUAUCUAAAAGACCAAUUCAGUGGGGUGGAAAAACGAAAGUGUACUUAAAUUAAUGAACCAUUCAACUGAUGCAUUCUCAUAAUUUUAACCACAGACUCCUUUUUCAUGACACUUUCCAGAAGCUUGUCACAGCAAUUUCAAAUACAUUUUCCUCAGCACCUCAGCACUCACUGUGUCUAUACAGAGCCAUGCUCACAGCAGACCAUGAAUAAAUGAAUGAGAGAAUGAAGGCAUUUUAAGAAAGUGAGCCUAUGAAUGGUAGCUAUGAAGAAAGGAGGUUCAGAUUUCCCCAUGUUUACAACACAUUUUAAUUUCCCCAAAUGGCUAAGUGAGUCUACCCCAGGAAAUUCUCUGCCAUUUUUCCCCCUGAAGGUUCCUUUGAAAAAGUCUUUAAAGAGAAAAUUUAAAAAAAAUCAUCUUUCUUAAACCGACUUGGAUAUAUUCGCCAUCAAAACCUUCCUUCUCCACAUCUCUUCUCACAACUAUAUUCCCCAGGUAGGGGUUGUUUCCUAGCACCCAAGAAAUUCUGCCAAUUCCUCUGCAGGCUGAAAGGCCCCUUCUCCAACGUCAUUAAGGCUUCAGGACUCAGUCAGGUAUGAAGGCUGAGGCAACAACAGCGGUGGGUCAGUGUGGUGCAGGACCGAGUAGAUGGAUCUGAGGUUUUAAUUCAGGGGUCAUAAACAUAUGUAGGAGUACUAUAAAGCCUUCUUUAAAUUCUUGCAACUUCAUGUUCUACAGUCUGUAAAAUAGAUUAUUGUCUACCUCCUAAGGCUGUGGAUAGGAUUACAUUUAAAAAUACAUGAAGGUAGCAAGCAUGGAUAAUCACUAAUUUUUAAAAUCUUAAUAUUGCCUGAUACUAUGGACUAAACUGUGUCUCUCCAAAAUUCAUAUGUUGGAACUAACCCCUAAUGUGACUGUAUUUGGAGAUAGAGCUAUUGGAAGGUAACUAAGGUUAAAUGAGGUCAUCGGGUGGGGUCCUAACCCAAUAGGAUUAGUGGCCUUAUAAGAAGUGCCUGAAAAAGGCCAUGUGAGUACACAGCAAGAAGGCAGCUGGCUGCAAACCAGGAAGACAGCCUCACCAAGACUGAACCAUGCUGGCAUCCUGACUUUGAACUGUGAGAAAUAAAUGUUUGCUGUUUAAGCCAUCCAGUCUACGGUAUUGUGUCAUGGCAGCCUGAGUUGACUAUGAUGACUGUUCUCUGCAGUCUUACAAUUGCCCCUAACUAACUCCCCUUGACCAAAACACACUCCUUGAAAUUUUCAUCCUUCAGCUCUUGCAACUAAUGGAAUGCAGUGAUUAAAAGCAACUCUAGAUAUUUACCAGAUGUGUGACCUUGGGCAAUAUGUUUCCCCUCCCUAUGCCUCAAAUUUCCUAUUUUGUCCAAGCAGGCUAAAAAUAGUGCUUAUCUCAUGGGGUUGUUUUAAAUAUUAAAUUAGUGCAUGAACAUUAAGCACCAAUGGCAGAUAAUAGUGGGUUGUCAUCCCUAGACCACAAAUUUUAUAAGAGAAAUGUUGAUCUAUUUUGGAUAUAUCCGAAGCACCUAAAACUAUAUCCAGCACAUAGUCACACUCUCUGUUACUGCAAUGGUUGAAUAAAUCCUCCUCCCACCAUUUCUGACUGGCUUUCCAACCCCUCUAUAAUUUGACUAUGCCCAACCUUUCCAGUCUUCUUUUUCCUCUACAACCAGCUCAGGAACGUAGGUACCAGUCAUACAACUGGCUGGAUUUUUAUUGUUGUUGUUGUUGCAAGUCUUGCAUUUUCUUUUUUUUUUUUUUGGCUCCAGCUAUUUCUUGUACUUCUAGAAGAUUCCUUAGCUCCCCUUCAUAAAUGCCAUCUCUUAACAAAGGUGACUGUGCACCAUACGCAUGCACACACACGCACACACACACACACAGAGAGAGAGAGAGAGAGAGAACUAAGACACACAAUCCCAAAGGUUCCUUGAGAGAUAGGAAGUAGGAUUCUCAUGGUUUUCCCAUCUCAGACUCUUACAGUCCUCUGCAUACCAAAAUUGAAACAUCUUAUAGGGGUGGUUUGGAUUCAUUGAGUACCUCCUCACAAUUUCUCCAAGGAGUAGUACCUGACUGAGAGGGAAUAGCGAUAUCUAGACAGAAUUAUCACACAUUAGAAUUCACUCUGCUUCAGUUUGGAGGGAACUUUUCCAAUACCAUUUGAGAUGACCAGAUGACCUGCUAGAGUGAUGUAAGGUCAGGACUGAUUCUCGAUGUGGUGGAAGCAAUGCUUACAGAUGAAGAGAAUGCUCUUGAAAACUUCCUUCUUUUCUCCCCACACCCCUGUGUAAAUGAACUCUUGACUGCCUAUCCUCCCUCUAGAAAAUAAGCAGGGCUUUUCCACCCACAAAGUCAUUAGAUAUUAUGUCAAGAUUUGGUAAGGAAGGGGUAACAGGGCAGAAAAUGUGCCUGAGAGCCUCUGAUCCCUGAAGCAACUUGGUCUCCUACAGAAUUUGGAUGGAAAGUCCUUUUUGAGUUUUAUGUAUUUCCAUGUUCUUCUCUCUCCAGUCAGAAGAUGCUAUCUACCCUCCAUCCCUGAGGCAGUCUCUUCCCUAUAAAAAUAGGUUUGUUUGAUCAAAUCCUGAUUGUACUUUCACAAAUGAGUUGGAGGGUAAGUGUGGCUGUGUUUCGUUUUCCGGAGAGACUAGAAACUUUUCCCCUGACAGUGUUCCCCAAGGUGAAGGGGAACAAUGGCACCAUCUCUGAGUUCCUAGAGUCUUUAUAGUUCCUCGCAAUCAUAAAUGGAUACAUCCUGAGAGCACAAGUCCUAGCUGCUGCUGAUGCACAUGGCUUUUUACCAUGGUGAGGGGAUUGGAGUGCACUCUCGUAGUAUCGGAGACCUGAGGCUGUGGCUGCACAGUCAACCAAUUCCCUCUUAUCUCUGCCUGUUUUGUUCUUCUAUUUCUGCACUAAUUAUUGCCUUGGCUAAGGAUUUGAUGAGUAUCCUAAUUAAGGCAUCUGAAAUUUUUUCUACCAAAAUAUUCAUGUCAAUACUCUGUUAACUUCCAGAGAAGGUGAACAUGGUGCAUAAUUAGAAACACUGCAGCAAUGCCAACCUACAUCGAUCUCAUAUAUUCUAGUGUACAAGGCACAUUCACACCUAUUACUUCAGAUUAUAUUCAUGAUAACUAACCCCAUGAGGAGAGCUGGGAGAUUAUAAUUAGUCCUUUUACACAUAAAGAUUCUCAGACAGGUCGGCUAAGUGAUUUUGGCUUAUAAGUGACAGAAUCCAAUUCUCUAUUAAAUAAAUGGAGGGAAAGGGCUAUUAGGAAGCGAGUGGGAAAAGGUAAAUAGGCCCCACUAAGAAAAAGUAUGUGAUGUGUCAGACAAAAACCAGGAUCUCAUAUGUAUCAAGCUUAUUUAAUUAACGUAUGGAAUAACCUCUACCUCUGGUCUCUUUCAGCCUCUUGAUAGCUUGCCUACUCUUCUGUUCUUGCCAUAACCAACAUGCUGCAGCCAGAGAAAUCCCACCUGAUCAAAUCACAUCAUAUCAUAUCGUAUCGUAUCAUUUCAUAUCAUAUCAUAUCAUAUAUCACAUCACAUCAUUCUCAUGUGUAAAACUCUUCAAUGGUUUUCCAUUGCUCUUAGGACAAAGCCCACAGCUUCUCAUGUCUAAAUGAUGGCUUCCGUGACCCAGUCCCUAAUGGUCUGUUUCUGCUUUGUCUUACCUCCCAGUCAUCCUAGCUCUCUCCAAUCCAGCCAUACCUUCGGUUCCUUAGAUGCACCAUGCCUGCCUGCAGAGCCAUUGUCCACUGUAUUCCUGCUGCUCGAAUGUUCUUCCUUCACCUGGUUUUAAGUACUGUUUCUUCUUUACAUCCAAGUUCAAGCAACACUUCCUCAGGUAAGUGUUCUUGAUCUCUGAUCUUCCUGGCUAGGCCAAAUAACACUUUUAUUUGCCUAGUCCCAUGCCUUUCUUGUUGGAGGGUUUAGUAAUUUUAUGUUUAUUUGUGUGAUUAGUUGAUAAAUGUGUCUUUCCUUAUGUCCCAGGAGAGAUAGAGACGCCUUGUUUGGCUCACCAUUGUGUUCCCAGUACCUACUGCCACACCUGGUGUAUAGUUGGCCCUCAAUAAUUAAUAUUGACUGAACAAAUCAGCAAAUGGAAACAUGAAGGUGAUUCUUCAAACUAAUUAGUCCUCAUUUAUAUUUAAAGUUCAGUGCAAAGCUAUGUCCCUCAUGGCAAGUGUCUCACAGAUGAAAUGGACAGUGAGUAGAUAUGGCCUAUUUCUGUGUUUCUAAGAAUGAAAUUUCAACACACUGACUGUUAAAGAUUACAUUGGCUUUUGUUAGCAAUUUAUGAACCAGGCAUCACUCGGCCUAUGCAAUAGACAGGAGUUCCAUCGGGUGUGGCAAAACAGUUGGCUUUUGUGAGGCAGCUUGGUCAGGAGCAAGGAAGCAGCACAGUACAGAAAGCGGGUUAGUUGAUCUCAGGUUGCUUCAGGUUACUUUCCUUGUAUGGGUGAAAGCAGAGGGGGCUUCUUUGUCAUGCCAGCUCAGGUUGACUGGGCUCCUUUUGAUUGGGCGCUAUGAAUCUACUAUGUUGUUUUUGGUUUUCGUUUUUGGAAAACUGGCCUAUUUGGGGAUUUGGCUAUCAUCUCCUGAUUUCUGGGAAGGUCAGAUCUUACAAAUGAACAAUUAAAUUUUCAGUUUGGUGAUGUGGAACUUUGACACAUGUGACUCCAUUUUGGGUUGUUCUGUUGGGGCCUACUACAGAAGCUCAGUUCAAGGAAUGGCCUUCCUUAAAUUUUCUUUAACAUAUGUUUUGUUGCAAAAUGUGUGAUCAAGAUUUUAGUCUUAAAGAACUACUGAGGAGUUCUUGUGUAAAUGCUUCUUCUUUUCCUUUUCAUUGGGAAAGAUCUUCCCUGUCUUUUUUUCCUCUCCACUCCUUAUCCCACAUUAUCUUUUUAAAAGGCAGUUCAAUGCUAGUGGUGAGUAACUCCCUGGAACGAAGCUUUUGAUGGUCAGAAGCCCCGGUUAAGUGCCUGGUGUGUGAGCUACAGUCUCUCAUCCUAACCCAUCCACGGGCACUGUCCCUUAGAGGGGACAGGAUGCAGAGUUCUGUCUACAUGAAUAGCCACCCUCCUCUUUCACCUCCUCAGCCUUUUGCUAAGAGCCCCACCUUGAGCUUAUUUACAUCGAGAACAGCUUUUGAAGCAGAUAUACACCUGCUCCUGCACAUCCCCAGGGUGAGCUGUGGGGUUUCUUGAUGAAAGGGUUUGUUCAUGUUUGUUCAUACAGAGCUCAGUGCCUCUGAGUCAGAAAGAAGAAUGAAUAAAAAGAGCUUUUCUGAAAAACAGCUCUGUGAAAAGGAAAGUACUGGGAGAAGAGAGUUUUAAGGCAAAAGAGGCAAAACAAAUAAGAAGUCAUCAUCAAGAAACCAUGUUGAACAGUUUAAUUUCCUGAAGGAGAAAUGAAUGUCUAUUUUCCUCUGUAGCAGAUUGCUUCAGAGAAAGAAAUACAGUUCGGUAGAUUAAACUGGCAUUUGCACCAUGGUCUUUAAGUCACUAAUUCUUGCUGGGGGAACAGGGGGCAGGUGGAAGUGAAGACUUGAAAUUGGCUAAUUUGAGGUCAUUGUUGGUUAACACCGAUAUAUUUAUGUCAAGAGUCAGGAAAGGAUUUAGCCCUCUACUUGACCUGUGGAAGUGCCUGAGGGGCAGUGAAGUUUUGAAGGAAACAAACCAACGGAGGAUUUGCGUUUCACUCCAUCAGUUUGGACCUGAGAAUCUGAGAAGACGCUUGUAGCACUGCCUUCUCUCUUAGCAGAUUUUUUUCUCUGAAUCAUCACAACAUGUAAAGCUCUGACACCUAGGAUAUCCUGAGGGGGAAAGCAAGAGAGAAGGAUGUAAUUGUGCCAAUUCAUCUGGCCAGGAGACUGAGGGCACAAUGUCCUUUGGGCAGAAUAAAUUGUUAUUUUGGGACCUUGUGUUGAUCAUUUUGGCAGUAGUAUCCUGGAGGGACAAAUCCAGAGUUGCAGAAAGAUGUUUGGGUGCCUGGGGCAGGGAGCCAAUUAGUUAUAGGACUCUCCUUUUUCACACCCAUAUUUAUACAGAGUGAAUAUCCAUUAAUACUCCAAUUUAAUAAAGUGAUAACUGACUUAUAUUGUAUAGCCUUAUUUUAAAAGCUUACGAUAGUCUUUAUUAAUUUGUCAUAAUAAAAAUAAACAAACACAUUUUAUAACUUGCAAUAUUUAACACACAGCAGAAUGCGGAAAUUAAAAAAUUAAAGUACAUACACCUGUAUGUCUUAUGAUAUUUAAGGUUUGGGUCUCUUUACCCCUCAAUUUCUCUUCUCAUAGUUAAUAAAAAAUAUUUAUAUAUUAUCUUUUAAGAGGAAAUAUUUUCUGUUCUCUUUCUGUAAGAGUAUCUGGACCUUAUUACCAAUUACCCUUGCAGCCUUGAAUUGGCAGCAGCCAUCUAUAUCAAUGUAGAAUUAAAUACAGUUCUCAGACUUAAGGGCUAAGAAAUUAGCAAUAACCUUUAUUAAGUGUAUAUGAAAAUUGAAAGUAAAAAUUUUGUCAAGCCUGUGUACAUACGUAUAUAUGUAUAUACACAUUUUCAACUCUUGAAACAAAUAAACAAAUGCCCUACCAACAGAAUCUACUUUAAAACAUUUUCUUGAUUGGAAAGUGCUAUUCCAUUGUUCUAAGCCUCUCAGACCACUCUAGCCACUUUCCAGUUUUGACUAAGACCCGGCCCUCACAUGUGGCCCAGAAGGGAAGGACAGGGAAGACAGGAGCAUGCAGAGGCCAGGUUAGGACUGAGCAGCAGUCUCUUGGACCAUUUAAUUCACCAGAUAAAGGGAAAAUGUGGAAAUUGCAGGGUUAGGGUCAUUAAAUUCACCAGAUAAAGGGAAAAUGUGGAGAUUGGGGUGUUAGGGCUUAGUGGCUCCCUUUUUCAGCUAAUACCCUUCUUUUUUCUUCUUUAAGAUUGUCACUUAUCACUUUAUGUUUCCCCUCUCCGCCUCUUCCUCCUCAUCUUUCUUUUCUUUGACCUUCUCUAAUUAAUAGAAUACAGGAUCUGCUAUAAUGAAGGUAGCUCUGGGGGCUGUUGACUGGGUAAGCCCUAUACAGAGGUAAAGUGCCCAGGGGACUGUGGAGGGAGAAAGAUAAAUGAAUUUCUGCCCCUUUAGAAUCUGGAGAAGUGCCACCACUGACAACAAAAGAAGAACGGAGUUGACAGCAAGAAGAAGGGACUAUUGCUUUGGUGUGUGCUUUAGUACACAGCUUUCAUAUGUAAUCAACUGAAGUAAAUAAUAUUUGUCUCACA